UUCAAUUCAAAAUUGUAAUUCAGUUUUAAAUUCAAAUUGAAAAUUCUAAUUUCUCGUUAGUUUAAAAUUUUAAUUUUAAUAUCGUUUAUAAAUUUAAAUUUACAAUUUUGAAUUUAGAUUUAAAAUUUUGAAUUUUUAUUUUUGGAGACUAAAGUGAAAAAGCGCAAAGUUUAGUGACCAAAAUUAACAUGCAAAAGAAUGCCAAGUAGGCACUGACAUGACGAUUCCGUUAAUUUUAACACUUUGUUUAACAGCUGGCACGUAAUUGCAACAAAAUCAUGAGACUAGAGACUCGAUUGCGAAAAAAAAAUGUUGGAUGUAAGAGAAUAAAGAAUUUGAAAAAUUAUCUUAUGUCUUCUCUUGGGGGUGUUAGUUAUUUAUAUUGUAGUAUAUUAGUUUAAAUU
rnacentral:lncRNA from 1 species